UACGGAGGAUGCGAGCGUUAUCCGGAUUUAUUGGGUUUAAAGGGUGCGUAGGCGGGCUGUUAAGUCAGCGGUCAAAUGUCGGGGCUCAACCCCGGGACUGCAUUUGGAACUGUUAAGCUGGAGUGUCGGAGAGGCAGGCGGAAUUCCUAGUGUAGCGGUGAAAUGCGUAGAUAUCACGCAGAACCCCGAUUGCGAAGGCAGCAUACCGGUGCACAACUGACGCUCAGGCACGAAAGCGUGGGUAUCGAACAGG
rnacentral:rRNA from 1 species